CGUUGGAUUUCCGUCACCUGGCUCUUCAACGCCUAUGAUGCUGCCCGAAAUAUAAGCGGGCAGAUCUCAUCGCCUUUAAGAGGAACGCCCUCUCCUUCUCAUUUCUUCGCUCAAACCCUAAUAUCUCUACACCGUCUUAAAAUUGGUGUCUAGUUUAAUUCCUUUGAUUCUUUUUUCUCCAAAUUUAUAAUUUAAAUAGCCCCAAGUUGCCGCAGAUCGUUCGGCGACGGGUUUUUCGCGGCGGAGAGUAGAUUCCGGCUUUUCGAUACAUGAUUUUUGGGGGAAAUUGCUGCCGGAGGCUCGACGGAGCUGAGCGCUGCCGACGGUGUGAUUCAUGGCGUCCGCCGUUUUAGCGAGCCAGAAUGAGUCGAGCUGGGCCCACAUGGGAAAGACGCAGUACGCGAAUCCCCACCUCAAUUCAAACCCUCAUCCUAACCCUAAGAAGAAGCAGAAGCAAUUCCACCCGUCUGCGGCGAACGGUGUCGCCAGUCGUUACCGCAGCAGCAACAACGUCGAUUCGCCGGCCGUCACGCAGACGGCUUCCGAUGAUGCCUAUUCUUUCAACCAGACGCCCGCCGCGCGUAACUCUGGUAACUUUGGUGGCCUUUUGACUUUCAAUGUUUCGACGUACACCAAAUCCGAGCUCCUGGAUCUCCGAAAACGCCUCUCUGCCGAGCUCGGUCAGAUCCGUGAUUUGCGAGAUCGGAUUGAGUCUGGUCGAUUCAACAUUGUCGAAACCCCUAGAUCUCAACCGAAAUCAAAGAAAUUUAGUGGCAGCAAACGGCCUGGCCCUGCGAUUGGAUCCGCCCCCAAGAAAUUGAGCGAUGGAUAUGACAAUAGCAGUUUGGAGGCGGGUAAUUUUGGGGAUUUGUUGAAAGAAUGCGAGAAGAUUGUUGGUAAAUUGAUCAAACACAAAAAAUUCGGGCAUGUUUUCAGAGUACCCGUGGAUGCAGUUGCGUUAGGUCUUCUCGAUUAUCAUCAGAUUGUGAAGCAUCCCAUGGAUCUGGGUACUGUCAAAGCGAAUCUGGCGAAAAAUGUGUAUCAGACCCCUGUAGAUUUUGCUGCCGACGUGAGGUUGACCUUUAACAAUGCGUUGCUGUACAACCCUAAGACCGAUCCUGUUAACUCGAUGGCUGAGCAAAUGUUGGCACUGUUCGAGGAAAUGUUCAAGCCGGUCCAGGAGAAGUUCAAUAGCGCGUUGGACAGGCGGCGUGAGAAGGAUCCCCGCGAGUUUAAAAUCAACAAUGACUUUCCGUCCCGGGAUGUUGAGGAAUUGCAGGGGAGCUCUUGGAACAAUGGUUGUCAGGUUCUGGCUGCAAAGAAGUCGAAGCCGAAAGCUAGCCAUGUUCCUGUCUCCCACAUUAUGAAGAAGUCUGAUAGAAUGCAUGCAUCAAUGCAAGCCCAUUCUACUGCUUCUACGACCUCUAAUCCCCCACCACCGUUGAAUCCGCAGCCACCAGCACCGGAGCCCUUGCCCCCUUCACCCGUGAGAGCUCCUCCUCUGCCUGCGGCUAAGGAGCAAAAGGCUGGAAGAGUAGGGGCGCCCAAGCAGCCGAAGCCACGGGCUAAGGAUCUUAAUAAGAGAGAUAUGAGUAUGGAAGAGAAGCAAAAACUUGGAAUUGGGUUGCAGAGUUUGCCUCAGGAGAAAAUGCCUCAACUGGUUCAGAUCAUCAGGAAGAGGAAUGAGCAUUUGGCUCAGGAUGGCGAUGAAAUUGAGCUUGAUAUUGAGGCCCUUGAUACGGAGACGCUGUGGGAACUGGAUCGAUUUGUGACCAAUUGGAAGAAGACGGUGAGCAAGACUAAGCGGCAAGCGUUGAUGAUGAACAACAAUCCAGCCGCUGGAGUUUCUAUUCCCACCAGUCCUGCUACCGAUGCUGAUGUGGGCGCAAUGAGUGACAAAAAUGAUGAUUCGGGCAAGAAGAUUAAAGAAAAUGAGGAAGAAGAUGUAGAUAUUGAUGAUGAUAUGCCAGCAGCGAGCUUCCCUCCUGUUGAAAUUGAGAUUGAGAAAGAUGAAGGGGUAGGUGGUGGUGUGGUCGUGGGCCAGGAUCAUGAUCAGGAGAAUAAUGGUCGAGGCAAUGCCAGCAGUAGCUCGAGCAGUUCUGGCAGCUCAAGUAGCGAUUCGUCAUCCUCGAGUGAUUCUGAUUCAGGGAGUUCAUCUGGUAGUGAGUCGGACGCAGAUGAUGCACAGUCUUGACAACUGUUUGAGCAAAUCUGCAAAUGAAUUGAGAGCUCAGGUGGGCAUUUGGCUGCUGUGAUAAACGAGCAUAUUUGUUCAUAAGAAUGGCAAAUGAGGUGCUUUGGGGAAUUGUUUGUUGUUGUAGUUGCCGGAUCAAAGAUUAAUCAUCGCUUGGAUGCAGUAGCCAGCUUAAGCUUUAGGUGAAGAAUAGAAAUUGUUAAAAGCGUGUAGAUAGUUUGGUUAGGUUAAUUUUGUACAGCAGCUUUAGUGGGAAUUUCUCCCCAGUUAAAGAAAGCUAUUAUUUCGCU